CAAGAUUUUAGCAAAGAUGGAGCAGAUACUGGAGGAGAAGGGUUUGACACAACAUGCUAAACUUUCAUGGAGAACCCAGUCCAUUGGGAAUGUCUUCCAAAAGCGCACUAGUACAGGGAUGCCACAAAACAGACUUGAGGUUACACAUAACUAACUGAACAUAGAACGCAGCA